UUUUCUGGCUGAGUCAUAUUCCAUGAGACAAUCAAGCUUUCGAUGAUCAUGUGAUGAGGUUUCCAGUCAGUUCCAGGUGAAGACACCACUGGCCAUCAAGAAGCUACCCUCUCCCCACCAGACAGAGCAGGAUGAGAGUUCUAUAAUCCUCAAUAGGUAGGGACGGUGCUCCAAGUCAGCAUGAAGCAGUUACAGAAGAAAGACCCUCAGUCCCCCUGCCUCCCAUAAAGAUUUAUGGGGAUCACAUCUCUCAGAGGGGAAAUGCACAGGAGAACUGGGCCUGGAGGCAGAGAACCUAACCCCACCUCUCCACACCCAAGUAGUAAAGGGAUCAGAGGCUAUUUUCUUUGUAACUCCCCCCAUCUUUUCUGCAUUGCAGAUGAAAAAUGAAAGUACCUCUGAUUGACCAAGUCUUCAUGUAUAACUUUGUAACUUUACUUCAGACUCUGAUUGGUCACCUUCCACAACCAAUCAGACUGGUU
rnacentral:lncRNA from 1 species